UCACUUGCUCAGUUAGGAAGACCUUUUUAGGCACAUGUGUCCUAGAUUUUCGCUUUUGGGUACAAAGGUCUUUGAGAAAUUUGGCAUAGGAGGGAACUUGUCUAAUAGCAUCAAGAAGCGGAAGAUUGAUUUUAACUUGUUUGAAAACCUCCAUCAUCUCCUCUAGUGAAGUUUCCUUUUUGCCAAAGGGAGCGGGUGAAUUAAGAGCUUC
rnacentral:lncRNA from 1 species